rnacentral:rRNA from 1 species
CCUACGGGUGGCAGCAGUGAGGAAUAUUGGUCAAUGGCCGAGGGGCUGAACCAGCCAAGUCGCGUGAGGGAAGACGGCCCUACGGGUUGUAAACCUCUUUUGUCGGGGAGCAAAGCGAACCACGUGUGGUUCAUUGAGAGUACCCGAAGAAAAAGCAUCGGCUAACUCCGUGCCAGCAGCCGCGGUAAUACGGAGGAUGCGAGCGUUAUCCGGAUUUAUUGGGGUUAAAGGGUGCGCAGGCGGAGGUGCAAGUCAGCGGUCAAAUUGCGGGGCUCAACCCCGUACUGCCGUUGAAACUGCAUCCCUUGAGUGCGCGAGAAGUAUGCGGAAUGCGUGGUGUAGCGGUGAAAUGCAUAGAUAUCACGCAGAACUCCGAUUGCGAAGGCAGCAUACCGGCGCGCAACUGACGCUCAUGCACGAAAGCGUGGGGAGCAAACAGGAUUAGAUACCCGAGUAGUC